UUUUGUGAAAAUCAGCACUUGGAAGACACACAUUUUGUAUUUCAAAAUAACAGCCCUUAUCAGAUGUCACCUGGGCUGCACACUGCUUUUCCAGUCAGUGUGUGUUUUACUGAAAAGCCGCCCCGGGGCUGGGUGGCAUGUCCUGAGGAUGCAUUUGGAUUCUACAAAAGAAGGGACCUGUAACAGGUGGUGAAUGAAAGCUGUGAAAACACUCCUAGUAGUGGGGAUGCAUGGAGAUGCAAACCACCUACCUCACUCUUCACUACCCUGCUGAAGAAACCAAGGCCCAAGGAACCAAGGUGAGCUGGCCCAAAGUCACAGCCACUUAACAGUCCAGCUGGCACUGGGUUCUGUGUAACCAAUUAAAUGUAAGUUUGUACCAAUUCUUUUUUAGUUUUUUUCCCUUUCUUUUUAAAAAAAUUUUUUAAUGUUUAUUAAUUUUUGAGAGACACAGAGAGAGUGCAAGCAGGGGUGGGACAGAGAGAGAGGGAGACACAGAAUCCAAAGCAGGCUCCAGGCUCUGAGCUGUCAGCACAGAGCCUGAUGUGGGGCUUGAACUCACAAACUGUGAGAUCAUGACCUGAGCGGAAGUCAGAUGCUUAACCAACUGAGCCACCCAGGAGCA